rnacentral:sRNA from 1 species
AGGGAAAGGUGCUUGACUGACAGCUACUGCUAAUUUAAACAAUAGUUUAAGGACAGCAAAGUUCUCCUACCAUCUUACCAGUCAACUCUGACCUGGAGGGACCAUCUCCAAGGGUGAAAGAGUAAGUUGGUCUCUAUGCCCAUUUAGGCCUUCG